GAUGAAGAACGUAGCGAAAUGCGAUAAGUAAUGUGAAUUGCAGAAUUCAGUGAAUCAUCGAAUCUUUGAACGCACAUUGCGCCCGCCAGUAUUCUGGCGGGCAUGCCUGUUCGAGCGUCAUUUCAACCAUCAAGCCCUGCUUGCGUUGGGGUCCUGCGGCUGCCCGCAGGCCCUGAAAACCAGUGGCGGGCUCGCUAGUCACACCGAGCGCAGUAAUACAUCUCGCUUUGGGCGUGCGGCGGGUUCUUGCCGUUAAACACCCCCUUUUUACCAAGGUUGACCUCGGAUCAGGUAGGAAUACCCGCUGAACUUGAGCAGAUCAGUAAGCGGAGGA
rnacentral:misc_RNA from 1 species